rnacentral:rRNA from 1 species
CCUACGGGAGGCAGCAGUGGGGGAUAUUGCACAAUGGGGGGAACCCUGAUGCAGCGACGCCGCGUGGGUGAAGGAGCGUUUCGGCGCGUAAAGCCCUAUCGGCAGGGAAGAAGUAGGACGGUACCUGACUAAGAAGCCCCGGCUAACUACGUGCCAGCAGCCGCGGUAAUACGUAGGGGGCAAGCGUUAUCCGGAUUUACUGGGUGGAAAGGGAGCGUAGACGGAAUUGCAAGUCUGAUGUGAAAAUCCGGGGCCCAACCCCGGAACUGCAUUGGAAACUGUAUUUCUAGAGUGUCGGAGAGGCAAGUGGAAUUCCUGGUGUAGCGGUGAAAUGCGUAGAUAUCAGGAGGAACACCAGUGGCGAAGGCGGCUUGCUGGACGAUGACUGACGUUGAGGCUCGAAAGCGUGGGGAGCAAACAGGAUUAGAUACCCCAGUAGUC